rnacentral:tRNA from 2 species
GGCCCCGUAGCUCAGUCCGGAUUAGAGCACUUCCCUCCUAAGGAAGGGGUCGCAGGUUCAAAUCCUGCCGGGGCCG